UACAGAGGGGGCAAGCGUUGUUCGGAAUUACUGGGCGUAAAGGGCGCGUAGGCGCCUUCUAAGUCAGACGUGAAAUCCUCGGCUCACCGGGAACUGCGUCUGAGACUGGAAGGCUUGAAUCCGGAGAGGAUGUGGAAUUCCAGGUGUAGCGGUGAAUGCGUAGAUAUCUGGAGGAACACCGGUGGCGAAGGCGGCAUCCUGGACCGGUAUUGACGCUGAGGCGCGAAAGCCAGGGAGCAAACAGG
rnacentral:rRNA from 1 species